rnacentral:rRNA from 1 species
UGACCCCAGGUCAGGCGGGAUUACCC